CCUGUAACCAUCAAUAAGAGAUGGCAUGGAGGCUCUUCCAGAGUGGUUGACGGAAUGGAGGCUCCCUGACAAGUUCAACACUUCACUUAAUUGAAACUCGAGGCUCUUCCAGAGUGGUUGGGAAGUCUUGCAUCUCUUCAGUUCCUAAGAAUAUGGAGGUGCAAGAAUCUGAUAUACCGUUGUCCUCUUCUA